UAGAACUAUGUACUGCAGGAAUACCGAUGCAAAUGGGUAUAACGAACGCGGAACGAUGUGAACAUACUGGCAGCAUCCUCGCUACCUACUCGCGCGACAUCAAAACUACUAAUUAUUAUCAUUGGUUGCUUUUCCCCCCCCCUUUUAUUUUUUAUUUUUUUCGCUUUUUUCUUCACUCGCUCGUAUAGGUAAAUACUUACACGUGUUCCGCAAUGAAAUGGAGGUGAAGUUGGUUUUUGAAAAAUGAGUAGCUGAAAAAAGGAGAAAUUCAGAACUAUUUUAGAUACAAAAAUAUUGGAAAUCGGGAAAUUUUUUUCUUUCAAAAAAUAAUCGCUUCAUCUUCAGCAACGGUAUCUGAAUAAAUUGAAGACCUAUUCAGUGUGUAUGAGAACGAACCGAUGAUCUUGUUGACAUUUUUUUUUUUUUUCUUCUUUUGAUUUCGCGAGAUCUGAUCGUUUCGUAAAAAUCGAAGCUGCGCCCGCGAGACGUGCACUCCGCAACGGUCUUUGAUAUAUGUAUGCGGUUGGACAUUUUAUUUCUCCGAAUCAAUCCUAACGAGAUGUAAUAAUCGUAACAAGAAAGGGUUAAUAACUCUUAAUUGGACCGUUAUCGCAUAAAAUCCAGAGAGGUUAUACCCAGUCAUUGUACGCACGCGGUUCUAGUUGCGAGCGUUACGAUAUGUCGGGCUGCAAUUUUUUCAGUUGCUCUUUUUCAACCACUGGAAUGAAAAAACAUUAUCCCAUCAAGACGGACGGAUUGAAGGAUCACCUUCACGCGUUAAUUUGGGGAGAAAAGAAAAUCGUCUCCGAUGUCGUUAUUUUCUGCGGUGUGGCACGUGUGAUUUUUCAGGAUAUUAUAGAUAUUCCGAAUACGAAGGCGAUCAAUCUUUGGACAAUUAAGUAGUCGAUGAUUGCUUCUUACGAUUUUCAACCGGUCGUCAACUCGUUCGACUCGUCUACCGGGAAUUUAUUUCGAGACUUGUCUUUCUGACCGUAAAUCUCCCCAGAGUUUUUCAACUGAUCUGCGAUAAAUUCUGCGUUUACAACUUCACAGACUUUUGGGUAGACAAUUUUCGACACGAAUCUCCUCAGAUUCCACCAAAUUUCUUCCCGCAUGCGGCUAGCGACGUAAAUAUUCGGGGACUCCGUUUACUUUUGUCAUUAUUCUUUACGAACUCUGAUUCGCGGGGGAUUCCAACGAUAAUUCCCUUUUUUUCCAUUCCGUUCGAUCAACCCUCGCAAUUUAUCUCUGACUCAGGGUAAUUGCCGCUCAUUUCAUGUGCGGUAUUUCAAAAUACAUCGAACACUAGACUCAAUAAUUCUAUUUCAUUCUUUAUAAAUUGUUCUAUUAAUAAUCCGCUUCGAAUUCUACUUGCGAACAAUUUUACGAGCGGCUUAGGUCUACGGCGUGCAAAGUUUCCUAAUCAGUUUAGGAAUGUAUAAUACCGCACGCGUGUUCAUAUGGCACCGCCCGAAUGUCCUUUUUUUUUAAAUUUUCCAAAGAAGGAGGCCAGCCGCGACGUACGAAAACUUUUCAGUCUUCAUUAUCGAAGAACAAUUUGUCGCAUCUCACCGAUACGAUCUUGAUAACGUACCCGCGACGGUUACAGAGAAUAAUAACCGAUAUCGUCGUUGUACUACGUACUACGUACAACUCGCGGGCAUCAUCCCGACUCCAGAGAUGAAAGCGCGAUAAUAAAAUUUGAAUUUUAACGAAUGGUCCCGACGAGACAGAUCAUUCCACAUGACGUAUGCUCGUAUAAUAUUUAUGUAUCUACAGUUGCCGUGGUCAAUAACUCGUUGAAAUUAUUUUAGACUUCACGGGGUCGUUGCCAUCGGGGCCUAUAUUUUCAUUCCUUCGUCCUUAACGCGGCGGGCCCCGCCUCUGGCGAUCUCCGUCGUCGUUCGGAACAAAGAUUCGUCGAUCUUUCGACGAACGGCGAAAAAUAUUCGCCAUCCUCCUUCACCCGAUGCUACUGACUUUCGACCGCAGGAAUCUUCGAUUAAUAUUUGGCAUAGCGCGGUGUCGCAAUAAAUAACUCGUCCGUGUAACCGGAAGUAUAAUUCAGUGAAUAUAAAUCCGCGCGCGUCAUUUUUCCGCUCGGUUCGCUCUCACCGUGCCCGCAGGAUGUGGGGAUGUAGCCCGGUAGUCGUCCUUUGCUCCCGGGUAUAUCCUCAGCCGGUCCGGGCGCAAGGGGAUUAUUUGAGUCGGCUACUUCUCCGGCACCUCGAGUUGCCGAUGUUAUCUGAAACCGACCACUGCGGUAUCGCGUAGCGAAGUAUUGUUUUACCAAAUGUAUAAUACGUACGCGUACAAGACGUUACAGCUGCUGUAACAUGCUUCAGAGAAAUAUGCCAUAUAUCCGUGCAGAUCGGGGGCGGGAUUACGUGACGUUUGUUUUUUUUUUUCUUUCUCUAUUCUUUCGAUUAACUUUUCGCUCUUCCACCGAAUCGAAGGUCGACCGCGAUUCCGAAUUCAAUCAGAUCUUCACCCUUCGCAUCAGGCGUUCUCUUACUCUCCCUUAUUUUAUACCACUCCGCCUUCUUCUUCUUCUUCUUCUCCAUUCCGUUCUUCUUGUUUCUUAUCUCAUUCAGUUGGUCGCGAGCGAAUUAGCAUGUAUAAAUAACUCUUCCACCACGUCACCUUGAAGACCUGUACUGUGCGCAACGACAAUGGCGACGGUGUGUGACCAAGGCUUCCAUACCUUCUAUUCUGCAUUUGCCUCUUUCUCUUUUUCUAUUCGUUUCGUUGUUUUUUUUUGUUUUUUAUUUUUUUAUUUUAUUUUUUUUAUUCAUUUUUAUUUUUCUCGUUCCUCGCCUUUUUCUUUUACCCUCUAUACGAAACCACUCCACAAUUAGCGUCUAUAUGCAGAUGUCAGACGUCUCUUGUGCACAUUAUAUCAAAUACAAGCUUGUAUUCUGGAUCCCAAAUACCUACGCGGCAGAUACACCCACGUGGUGAAUACAUGCACCUAUACCGCGUAGUAGGACACGGCUAUGCGGUAUUCUCACAUUUGGUUAAAUUCGCCGUGUGUGGUCCGAAAUUCCGUGGUUCAUUCAUACCGAAAAGUUGUCAACCUCCGCCGAACGGUACGCGUAAUAAUACGAAAGUUACGGAAUGCGAAGACGAGAUAUUCGAAGACGAUUUUAUUUCGUAUCGAUCGGCCGUUCGCUUUUCGUGACGCGAAUCCGUAAUCGUUAUUCAAUUUCGACGGUCACGUAGAAACUUUCGUCUAGGAAUUUAUAAGUAUCUCAUUGUUGCAGGUUCGGCUCGAGAUAUAAUUUUAGUCGUGAGCUGGAAGUUGAUCCAUAAUUUAUAGAGACAAUUAAAAACGACGUCCCAAGUUUUCUUGUCGGGUGCGUACCUAUAGCGUUCGUGGCGUUCGAGAGGGUAGCGCGUUGUUUUUUCUCGUUUCUCUUCUUCUUCUUCUUCUUCUUCUUCGAAAGUCAGGAAACAGUCGUCAUAACUCCGUCAUCCGCAAGGGCGAGGGCGAGGGCGAGGGCGAAGGUGGUCUAGGAGACUGGUAGCUCGUAAGUUAAGUUUGAUUGAAAUAACGAAGUGGUUCGGUGCAUUUCUGUUUCUCGGGCAAAAUAAGAUGGAGCAAGGAAAUACCGUGCGACGAAUUUUACCACGGGGUACAUUGGAUUCCGGAAGUGCAGUCUCUCCCGCACACUUUUCACCGUUUGUUUUUACUAAUCUAAUUUACUAGCCGUACGAUGACUGAACUACGACUGUUUUUUGUUCCUUCUUAUAGCGCUAUACCCGUGCGGUAUUAACCUCCCCCAAUUUCGGUUGCGUAUUUUUUUUCUAUUUUAUUUUUACAAAUUUCCGGAGAGCCGCAGCUCCGCCAUUUUUCGGGAAUGCGACGAAAGAAGAGCCUCGGGAUUCUCCUUUAUUUUUAUUUUUUUUUUACUUUCUCCUCGGCGAGGUUAAUCUGCUUGUUCUCGCCGAAUACGAUGAGAAAAAAGUAAACCGAACUGAAAUAAGAAUAAAAAUUAGCUGCGCGAAACCGAGGCGAGAAUUUCGUUUAAAAUGAAUCUCUUUUCCCAAGAAUACCGGACGACGACUAGGUAAUCGAGGAAGUUUCCGUCGCCAACGAAGCGCCAUAACUAGUGUGGCACGCGUUUUAAAAAAUCCGCAAAAAUCACGAGCACUUCCCGUUUUUCGGGGUGAAUUGACAAAGACUUUUCUAUGAAUCUCUUUCGGCGUUGGUUCGAGAUGAAGAAAGAAAGAAAAAAAAAACAAAACAUUUCCGACGCGUCGAAUGAAUUUCGAAGAGAUGAAAAACCCGCGAAGAUCAUACGUACAGACGUAUUAUACAGUUAUAUAUAUUUUUAGAUAAUCCAAAUUGAACACCUAUAUUUAUCAACGAUCAUUGUGUGUCCGCAGGAAAAAUUAGCGGCACCCAAAGAAACCGCAGGAAGUGAUUACUUAGAAACGGUCUGAACCGGAACACAAUGUUCUAUAUUUACGUCAUCCGCAUUUCCUCGCGUUCGCUACACAUCCCGGUAUUUUCUACGACGCGACGUAGGGUUUCCGUGCGACGUAUAAUACGUUUUUAACUAGCAGGAAUCGCUGGUCUACCGCUCAAGGAAUAAGCGGCUAAACUUGGUUACGGGAAUAGGACACCCGAUUUUAACCCGCAUAUGUAAGUAACCACCUAUGUACGUACGAUGUCUCUACGUACGUACACGUGGACGUCCCAGAGAAAUACGUAUGUACGCGUACAUACAUCCUUCGAGGCUAAUUUCUGACGCACCGAAUUCUACGGACGUCUGCGAAGCGUCUCUAAGUUAUUACCCAAUAGAAUUUCAUUGGAUCACUUCCAGACCUUCGACCCCGAAGACAUGCGAAAUCGAUCGCGAUCCCCGAAAGUUUCGAACAAAUUUUGUUCGUUCCAAACGUAUAGUCCACGGAGCGUCAAUAAUCUGAGGGGGGAGAGAGAGAGAGGGAGAGAGAGAGAGAGAGAGAGAGAGAGAGAGAAAAAGUGGAUAAAUAAGUGGAAUGUUUGUUGUACGUAUAUAUACGUAGAAAGGCGAAGGAUCUCUUUAGAUUAGAGGUGUAUUAUCCUGGGUUAGUUGAGCCUCUGAUAUCGGCUUAUCAAGACUAAAGCCAAUAAGCGCUUAUCUGACCCUGAAAGUCUAGUUUGCUCAGAGGCGACAGUCGGGUGUUGAAAGAAAUAAAAAGAAGAAGAGUUUUCAGUCUCCUUUUCAUUUUUUCUUUGUCCUUUUUUUCUUUCCAGAUGAUCCCAGCGAUACGAAAAUGUUUGGGAAUCUCGCGGGUUCGGGUACGAGAACGAUGUACGCGAUUUCGGAUGCGGAUAAGCCCGGUCAUUUGUCGACAGCGUACGCAACAAGUUGACGAGUCGAACCGUCAAGGGCAUCGCGAAGCGGGACGCCAAAAAGAUGGAAGUCGUUACGAGCAAUAUUCGAGAACUUGGAGAACUGGAGUCGCGAAAGGCCCUGCAGGCUGCAGAGGCGUCAAAAGUAACUCGAUACGCGAUCCCUACGAUCCCGGAUUCCCCAUCCCUGAAUACUAUAUACGUAAGUAUACCGAAGGAACGGAGCCGACCGCUGGACCUGCACUCUUCGACUCUUCUGGGUUGUUUUUUUUUUUUUUUUGGUUCGUAUCCUUUUUUUCUCUGUUUUUUUUUUUUUUUUUCUUAUUCCUGACCCUCAAGGACGAGGAGAUGCGUAAGAUACACCGCUGCUCGGAAAGGGAACGCAAAAAGACGGAGGUGCUGAGGUUUGGGGAAGAAAGAGGCUGAAACAAGCCCGACGGAGUGUUGUGACAGUUGAGACAAAAGGAAGACACCGUUAUAAAGGCCUCGAAAAAUAGUGGAAAUGGUAAAUAUGAUAUCCGUAACGAAAACUUCAAAAGACAUCCCGCGCAUCAACGCGCGAGUCUCCCACCUACUCUUUUUUAUUUUUAUUUUUUGUAUUUUUUUGUAUUUUUUUAUUCCAUUGAGCAAAAAUAUGUAAAAUCACGUGCGAUAAGGUAUUCGACGGGAUGACGAGGAAUUUUCACACGGUUGAAAAUUCGGUUCGCGAAGGCGUGUAUCGGGAAAAUUGUCAGAGAUUUCUUCCGGCCCGGUGGUCGGCAACAGUUGGUUGUCCGGUGGUAGACGUUUCGCCAUUUUGUGGGAAAAAUUGUUCCCGUGGGAGGAAACGCUUCCGAUCCCCGUCCCCGUCCCCGUCCCCGUCAUCGUCUCUCGUUUUUCCCCUCCUCCUCGUUCUCCCCUGUUAUUCUUCGACCCACGCGCGUAGAAAUCCAACGCGUGAAAUUUUGCGAAACGUGUUGAAAGCCAGUGUUGACGUAGGUUUUCAGGAUAAACAUAAUACAUAAACUGUAUUACACAAACGACCGGCGUGGUGGAAUAUCACCCCGUGGAUCAUUCGCCUCCGGCGAAAUCGUGCCCGAAGAUCGGAAGGAAACGAGAAAACGAGGAGAGGAAGAACCGACUUCGAGAUCGAGUAGGUCGAGGAUUUUUCUGAAAAUAUGGCCAUUCGGAAGCUCGACCCGAAAACGAGCUUGGUAAAAAAGCACCCCUCCGAAUGGCUGUUCAGAAUUCCUGACAAGGUCUCCGGACGGGAGAAUAUUUCGACCAUGUAAUAAUGCUUCCCUCCGAGGUAAAAGUCUUUGGGGAAUACGUCGCGUCAGGUGUUCGGAAAUUUUAAUCUUCAGGUACACACGGGGGGCGAUUAAUUUCGGAAGGACAACGCCGACGGACUUGCUAACAUCUCUUCACUUCCGUUCAUUGUUUUAUUCCUUCUUUUAAAGAGGAGCGGCUGCUUUGCGUUGGUUGACUGACAAACGCGCGUUUUAUCCAAUAUCGUCGAGAUCAGCCGAUUCACGCUCGUCCAUCGUGCCGCCGCCGCUGCAGGUAAUUCACGGUGUUGCAACGGUCGGCGGGCGGGCGGCAUCCUUGCGGCAGUCAAACGACGCACGUUGGUUUCUUACCGGGCGUUGAAAUUCCUCGCAAUAUCUUCGCGCGCAUCUCGUACCGAAAAGAACGUAAAUCACGGCGAAUUACCGUUCGCGCGUACUCGCGUUCGACGCUGACAUCUGUAAGAAUGUGUUUGUAGAAAAAAAUUACGCAGCGAAGACGAAACCGUUUCAAUCAUUUCGACUUUUUCGUUAUACGCUUGAAGAAAAUCGAAUCCACAUACGACGAAAUAACGCUCGCGUCCUCGAUUCGGAUCCGCUUCCUUCGCUCCUCUAUUUCCUUUCAUCUUCGGCCCCGCAGGCCACUGUGUAGUCGGAUACACGAGUAUAUCCGUGAAGGGCGGGUGAACGGAUAGGUCAAGAGCUAGAGUUCCGUUGCGAGAAAGACCCACUACCUACUAGACCCAGAUGACUGAGCGGUAACGUGAACGCCUCGCUACCGAGAGAAAACUCUGGCUAUCGAAAGAUUUCAACCCACGCGCGCGAUAUCGUCGUCUCCCGUAUGUUUCUGACCCGGGCCAUAUAACUCCGGCACUCCGUUUCUGCGUCUCGCUGUUUUUGCCCUCGCGGUAAAAUAUAUUCCACGUCGUUUGAUCGAUAAUCCCGAAAUACUUGAAUAAAAUUGCGUCCGAGAAUAAUUCCUAGCGCGCCCCAAGGAUCGGAAUCGGUCUUUCUGCCCCACGAAGCUCUUCGACGAUAAAGCGGCAGCGUCGCGAUCCGCGGAGUAGGUAGGUACGUACCUACGUUGCGGAGGCAUUCGAUCCGAUCCUCGAUUUCCGCUGAAUUGCGGGGCGAGCCUUGGCGCUGUGUUUGAAUACGAUUAUUUACCUCGUCGCAUCUCCCGCGUGUGCCGACUCGUGACUCUCGGACGCGCCGCAUAAGCUAGAAGCUCGAUAAACUUUGUGCAUACUUAAUUCGCGAUGCGUCGAUAAAACCGUCUAGCUGAGGACACGGUUAACGCGAGUAACGGUUGGUACACGGAAUUUUAAUUACGACCUCCGAUACCUGAGUCGCAAAUUGUAAGAAAAAUUCCCAACUCCGAAGAGCGAAAGAAUUUCAGCCAUACGUGGUCAAUAAAAUCGGUUUCAUUGUUUCAGCCGUACUAUGGAGAAUGUGCGAUCAAAAGAUAAUUAGCAAAGUCUCGAAAAAACGACACAGGGUGGGUGAAAUCUUCGCGUUUUUUGGCUUGUCUCCAGAUCGCUUUGAGGUUCGGACGAUCGGUAGAGUUUCUGUUGUAAGCUGCGCCAUAUGAAGAGGUGGAAAUGGGUGUGGCGAAGAGUUGUGGAUAAAAGCAAAAAAAAAAAAAAAAAAAAAAAGAGAAGGAGGAAGGGAAAGGAGAAACUUAGAACGAAACGGUUGAAAGACGACUUUUUCCAACCCGUUAACAAACGAGUUGGCACGCUUUGAAUCUGUAAAAACAAGCUACUUCGAUCGCCGAGGAAAACUCGCCGGAAACUCGGCUCGCUUCUUUUGUGACCUUGAAGACAUUUUUCCGGAUGUCGUUAGCCGAUGCGGUAAAAGAACAAAGAAAUUUUUUUUCCCCUCUCGCGAAUUCACAUCACACACAAGCGCCGUGUUUACCAUUUAUUUCUCUCAGAUCCAAGAGACUUUCAUUCUUUUAAUUGAUCAUUUUCUGUCAAUGAAACUCUUUUGAAUUCUUUUUUCUCCGUUAUAUAGUUCUGACAUCAUUUUAUUACAGAGUCACACUUUUUAUUCGGGAGGAUUUUAAAAAUAUACUCGAAAAAUAUUUAUACGCCGGACCGCAAAUAAAUUCGUUGUUUUUUUUUUUCUUCACGUUCGUGUUUCUCUGUCAUAAAAUUUUAUUUAUUCAAUUUCACAAAGAUUUUUAUUUUCAAUUUCAACUUUAGAUAUCGUUCGACAAAAAAAAGAAUCCAACGAAUAU